rnacentral:lncRNA from 1 species
ACUGUUAACCCAAGGGCCACUCGGACUCCGCCAGGGGCCAGAUGCUGAGGCCAAGGCCACCGCGCUGGGAACUGAACCCGUAGGUACAAUCACCGCCAUGUUGACCACCUCCUGCGACCCCUCGACCCGCUGCAGCAGGAUCGGUUUGCGGGUCAGUGGCUGGGGCUGGAUCUCCGCCGCCAUCGGAGGGGGCGCGCCCGGGGAGCAGCCGAACGCGCCGGGGGACUUGGCUGAAGAGAACGCUCAGGCUUGCGCUCACGAUCGGGCUGCGAUGCGGAGCGGGCCUUUGGGAGCCGGCGACCAUAGCCUGCCGCCUGUCCAGGGAAUGUGCCCGCUCCGGCUUCCAGAGCCAACACCGCCGACACACCGGCCGCAAGCCGGCGCCACCUAAGAGAGUAGGGGGCGGGGAGCAGGGGGCGGGGCGGGGCGGGGUCCUGUGGCAGGGCGGCCAACCCACUUCCGGAGGAUGGGCACCAGCAGCCAAUGCGCGUGCGUCAGUUCAGCAGGCACUUCCGCCCCGCCGCCUGUAAGUAACCAAGGCCCGCAGCGCUGUCAGGACGCAUGCGCCCCGCAGUCCUUUACGCUACCGUCCACACCCAAAGCUUCGUCCCCGCCCUCCUAAAAGAAAUCUGUGAAUGCGCGUGCCCAGAGCCCCACCCUCUCGAGGCUGAGACUGGGGCGGGGGAAAAGCCUGCGUCAGCCGCACCGGAAAAGCGCCUGCAGGAAGGAUAGAGGGCUAAACUAGUCGGACGUGAUUGUGCAUGCGCGCAGAUGACUCGCCUCUAAGUUUUAACAAUUACACACCGGAGAGGGCGCUGUAACGUCGGCCGUAGUAAAGCGGUUCUUGCCAGCACCGCGUGGACUCUUGGGGAUUGUAGUUUCCCUCCAUCCUCAACGUCCUUGUUCUAGAAAGGAGUAACGCCCACUUCUCAGCCCAGGAGAGGAGUGGGCAAACGAAACUCAACGCCUUCUCUGGGUUAUUGCCCAAGUCAGAGGCAGAAAUAGUAUCUAAGAGGGAGAAAUAAAAAGAGCAGGCCCCGCUGAGCAAGACUCCCGGGGUCACACUGCCACAGGUUUUAAUGAGGUAUGAGGGUAGAGAAAGAAGAGACUCUCAUACAAGCUGCUUUGAGGGAGUUUAGAGAUCAUGGUAUCAAUCUUCUCUUUGUAUUAUGAAUAAAGAACUCACACUUG